rnacentral:rRNA from 1 species
AGUCGAGCGAUGAGAUCACUUCGGUGAAGGAUUAGCGGCGAACGGGUGAGGAACACGUGAAGAAUCUGCCUUCAACUCUGGGAUAACUCCGGGAAACCGGGGCUAAUACCGGAUAUGAGCCUUGAUCGCAUGAUCGGGGCUGGAAAGUUUUUCGGUUGAAGAUGACUUCGCGGCCUAUCAGCUUGUUGGUGAGGUAAUGGCUCACCAAGGCGACGACGGGUAGCCGGCCUGAGAGGGCGACCGGCCACACUGGGACUGAGACACGGCCCAGACUCCUACGGGAGGCAGCAGUGGGGAAUAUUGGGCAAUGGAGGAAACUCUGACCCAGCGACGCCGCGUGCGGGAUGAAGGCCUUCGGGUUGUAAACCGCUUUCAGCAGGGAAUAAGCGCAAGUGAAGGUACCUGCAGAAGAAGCACCGGCUAACUAUGUGCCAGCAGCCGCGGUAAUACAUAGGGUGCAAGCGUUGUCCGGAAUUAUUGGGCGUAAAGAGCUCGUAGGUGGUUUGUUACGUCGGUUGUGAAAUUCAGGGGCUCAACCCCUGACUUGCAGCCGAUACGGGCAAGCUAGAGUUUGGUAGGGGAGACUGGAAUUCCUGGUGUAGCGGUGGAAUGCGCAGAUAUCAGGAGGAACACCGAUGGCGAAGGCAGGUCUCUGGGCCAAUACUGACACUGAGGAGCGAAAGCGUGGGGAGCGAACAGGAUUAGAUACCCUGGUAGUCCACGCCGUAAACGGUGGGCGCUAGUUGUGCGAACCUUCCACGGUUUGUGCGACGCAGCUAACGCAUUAAGCGCCCCGCCUGGGGAGUACGAUC